GUUAGCAAGAAGCAGAGGUUCGCUUAUCGGGCUCAUGCCCCGGAGGUCGUUGGUUCGAUUCCAACUGUUAACA